AGUUUUGAACAGGGGCAGUACCAUAGCCCAUGAAGUUUAUCCAAGGCUCAAUUAUUGCUCAUUGAAAACUUUUCCCAAUACCUCACCAUGACAACUUGACAUAUAGUUAGCAUGGACAAUUACAAUUUUAAGGCU